rnacentral:misc_RNA from 1 species
AUCAUCAACUCCUGGUUCAACUUCGUCGGAAGGCAUCAGAAUACCAGGUUCAAACAGGUUGAAACGAGAGGCUAAACCGCCUUCUAUAUAUAUAAAAGACAGUGUAAGAACUAGAAACAGAGCAUAAUUGAAGAAGAACAAGGAGAAUUUAUGGGUAUCCAUGCAGAGAGUGCAGGGUCAAGAAAACUAGAAACGGUGGAAUACGAGGAAAUUUCACACCUGGGAUAGCGAGAGGAAGUGAGUCUGAAAGGAAAG